GUCCCCUGUUUCUCCACCGACCAGCCCGCCGCCCGGAGAGUCACGUCCUGCCUUCUGUCAAUGGGCGCCUUGCUACUGGUGCAACCAGCGGCCGAAGAUCGUCUAUGCAGACCAAGACUAGUCACUCUCCAUUAAUUUUAAAACCACCAAAACUAUGAAAACUACAAAUUAAAUUAAAGAGAAAAGAAUCCCAAAAUACUAAACACUCAUCACACUUAAAAUUAACAAAAACGACACGUUACAUGGACUUUUAUCUCUUUUGGCCAUUAAGCUAACGUUAUUUGAGCCAGACAUUUAUUUGUACGUUACUUGGCAACAACACAUAAGCUAGCAACCCCAUCAGGCACAGACGCAUGAAUGCAAAAUGAGACCAAAAUGCUGGAGGAGAGGCUGCGGGCUGAGAAAAUGUGCCUGUUCCAUACUACAGUUUGAAGCAUCUUUCCAUAGACAAUCUUUGUCCAUUCUUAUCAGUGGGUUGGUUCUUUGCCUCUGACAUCACUGGCUUGUGUCAGUGUGACUUGUGUCACAAGUCACUACUUGUGUCAGUCCUCAAGUAUAAUAAACUUUAUUUAUACAUCA